rnacentral:rRNA from 1 species
GAUGAACGCUGGCGGCGUGCUUAACACAUGCAAGUCGAACGGUGAACGAGGGAGCUUGCUCCCUCCGGAUCAGUGGCGAACGGGUGAGUAACACGUGAGCAAUCUGCCCUGGACUCUGGGAUAAGCGUUGGAAACGACGUCUAAUACCGGAUACGAGGCGUGGGGGCAUCCCCAACGCCUGGAAAGAACUUCGGUCCAGGAUGAGCUCGCGGCCUAUCAGCUAGUUGGUGAGGUAACGGCUCACCAAGGCGACGACGGGUAGCCGGCCUGAGAGGGUGACCGGCCACACUGGGAGUGAGACACUGCCCAGACUCCUACGGGAGGCAGCAGUGGGGAAUAUUGCACAAUGGGCGCAAGCCUGAUGCAGCAGCGCCGCGUGAGGGACGACGGCCUUCGGGUUGUAAACCGCUUUUAGCAGGGAAGAAGCGAAAGUGACGGUACCUGCAGAAAAAGCACCGGCUAACUACGUGCCAGCAGCCGCGGUAACAC